rnacentral:tRNA from 1 species
ACCGGGUUAGCUCAAUUGGCAGAGCGGCGGCCUCCAAAGCCGAAGGUUUGCGGUUCGACUCCGUAACUCGGUG